GACAUCGACAGAAAAAAACAGAAAGCUUUGUUGGGUCUCUCGCUCACCGCAGGCAUCGACAGAAAACUCAGGUGGAGCAAUCUCCAAUCAAGAGUUGCCGUCGUCCCAAUCCCACUCCGUGAACAUCUCCUCUGUCACAUCCGCUGUUGGUUUGGAUAUUUCCUCCUCAAGUCGCCAUCGUCUCUUUCAAUGGACAACUACUACAAACCUGAUUUAAAGAAGAUAGCACUUGCUAGGCGCAGCACGAUCAGGAAAGGCCUUAGAGUCGCAAUGUCUCAUCUCAAGAAGAGGAACAUGCAGGCUUGAAGAUUUGGUCAUUGACUGAACAUUUUACUUCUGAAAAAACUAUGUUUUGUGAUUUCAGACAAAUUUUUGUAGGUUAUAAAGAUUUUUCAUGGAUAGUUCAGUUUCUUGCUUGAAACACCUCCACUGUUAUGUUUCUUUUUCUCAGAAUUAUUUUUAAAAAAGUAGUAAACUGGUUGCUGUCCAUA